rnacentral:rRNA from 1 species
AUGCAGUGCGAGGGCUGCGUGCACUGCCUCGACGACGAGCCCGGCGUGCACCGGGUGUGGAUGCCCCACCGGGAGGCGCCGGGUCUGGCCAUGUCGCACACGUUCGGCGACUACUGCAUUAAGGACUACGACGUCAUCUCGGCGCCGGAGGUGACGCAGAGGAGGAUCACCGCGCGGGACCAAUUCGUCAUCCUGGCCACCGACGGGGGGUUGUUCAGAAAGCCUCCACGCCCUCGCCACGGAGCGGAUCGGACGGAGCGACCUUCUGACCACUCUGUAGAUUAUAGUGGCAUGCCACUCCGCUCUGGAGCGGAGCUGUGGAGUGGGAGUGAGUCCGAACACACCUUUAGUAUUACAUGGAGUAGUAAUUGCUGGGACCAGAUCCAUGCACCAUCAUCUGAAACCCAUGUAUUCAUGAGGUAA